CAUUUCCGUAGUUCUUUAAGACCCCGAACUGUGGAAGCAUUGAUUCUCCUACAGAACUGGUUGAGGACGCCGAUUGAUAUGGAUCCAUCUACACUAGGAGCUGAAGAGAAGGAGGAUGACGUCUUAGAGUCAGAUUUAUUUGGUGAUCUUAGUACUUAUUCCAUCAUCGUAGAUGAUGAUUGAAGAAGAAGGUCAAUAUGAGGAGCUUUUGGUGCAGGUCAUAUAACCGUUUGAUGAGACAUGAAUAUGAGGAUCCUCUGAAGAA